rnacentral:rRNA from 1 species
UACGGAGGAUGCGAGCGUUAUCCGGAUUUAUUGGGUUUAAAGGGUGCGUAGGCGGAUCGUUAGGUCAGUGGUCAAAUUGAGGGGCUCAACCCCUUCCCGCCAUUGAAACUGGCGAUCUUGAGUGGAAGAGAAGUAUGCGGAAUGCGUGGUGUAGCGGUGAAAUGCAUAGAUAUCACGCAGAACCCCGAUUGCGAAGGCAGCAUGCCGGCUUCCUACUGACGCUGAAGCACGAAAGCGUGGGGAUCGAACAGG